rnacentral:tRNA from 1 species
CAAAACAUAGCUAGUUAGUAAGUUCCUCCUUUACACGGAGUAAACCCCCGUGCAAUUCGGGUUGUUUUGA